UACGUAGGGUGCAAGCGUUUGUCCGGAUUUAUUGGGCGUAAAGAGCUCGUAGGCGGCUUGUCGCGUCGACUGUGAAAACCCGCGGCUUAACUGUGGGACUGCAGUCGAUACGGGCUAGCUAGAGUUCGGUAGGGGAGACUGGAAUUCCUGGUGUAGCGGUGAAAUGCGCAGAUAUCAGGAGGAACACCGGUGGCGAAGGCGGGUCUCUGGGCCGAUGACUGACGCUGAGGAGCGAAAGCGUGGGGAGCGAACAGG
rnacentral:rRNA from 1 species